ACUCCUACGGGAGGCAGCAGUGAGGAAUAUUGGUCAAUGGGCGGAAGCCUGAACCAGCCAUUCCGCGUGAAGGAAGAAGGCCUUACGGGUUGUAAACUUCUUUUCUGUAAGAAGAAAUACCCUGAUGUAUCGGGGUUUGACGGUAUUAUAGGAAUAAGCAUCGGCUAACUCCGUGCCAGCAGCCGCGGUAAUACGGAGGAUGCAAGCGUUAUCCGGAUUUAUUGGGUUUAAAGGGUGCGCAGGUUGUUUGGUAAGUCAGUGGUGAAAGUCUGUCGCUUAACGACAGGAUUGCCAUUGAUACUGUUAAACUUGAGUAUGGGUGAGGUAUUCGGAAUGUGUAGUGUAGCGGUGAAAUGCAUAGAUAUUACACAGAACGCCGAUUGCGGAGGCAGGAUACUAGGCCAUUACUGACGCUGAGGCACGAAAGCGUGGGGAUCAAACAGGAUUAGAUACCCUGGUAGUC
rnacentral:rRNA from 1 species